rnacentral:rRNA from 1 species
UACAGAGGUCCCGAGCGUUGUUCGGAUUCAUUGGGCGUAAAGGGUGCGUAGGCGGCGGGGCAAGUCUGAUGUGAAAUCCCGGGGCUCAACCCCGGAACUGCAUUGGAUACUGCUUUGCUAGAGUACUGGAGAGGGAACUGGAAUUUACGGUGUAGCAGUGAAAUGCGUAGAGAUCGUAAGGAAGGCCAGUGGCGAAGGCGAGUCUCUGGACAGUUCCUGACGCUGAGGCACGAAGGUCAGGGGAGCAAACGGG